UUGGAUUUCUUUCAAUGAACACUGUGGAGUCGGACGAUUUCCCGAUGAAUGAGGAAAAAUUACUCAGUAACAGAGAUCAACCUGGACUCAGUGGAGACUUCUCGAAUCCAUAACACGACCAAAGGUGUGGGAAUUCUACAGGGACCAUGUGAAGGACCCUUCUCCCCACUGAAUGGAGUAGAGUCUUUAGGAAGAAGGCCUCACACAGCAUUGGGUCUCGCCUUUGCCAUCUUUUCUUCCACAUGAGGGCACAGGGUUUGUCCUCUUCAGGUUAAUCACUGUAUACCUCCACUACAAAUGAAUCUUCCCAGCAUGACUACACUGCGUAUCAGUCUAACCCCAUGUUCCUGUGGUGACAAAGUAUAUUUGAGUGUUUUCCAAGUCACUGGGUCGUGGACUAGAGCCAUGCACUGGACUACGUGGGAACCAGCCACCUUAAGAGCCAUGCCAUCAGAUGAUCCUUUGGACACUUUAAUACUCAUCUUUAUUAAUGAUUUUCAAAAAUUGAUUGAGCUAUGUACUAUUAGUUGAGGACAUAUUAAA